rnacentral:rRNA from 1 species
UACAGAGGUGGCAAGCGUUGUUCGGAAUUACUGGGCGUAAAGGGCGCGUAGGCGCCUUGUCAGUCAGACGUGAAAUCCCCAGGCUUAACCUGGGAACUGCGUCUGAUACUACAAGGCUUGAGUGCGGGAGAGGGAUGUGGAAUUCCAGGUGUAGCGGUGAAAAUGCGUAGAUAUCUGGAGGAACACCGGUGGCGAAGGCGGCAUCCUGGACCGACACUACGCUGAGGCGCGAAAAGCUAGGGGUAGCAAACGGGGAGUUAAGAAACC